GGCGUCACCCCCACCAGCAGGUGCAGAGGUGCCGUUGCAGCAGUUGGAUGUGAGGCCAAGAAGCAGAAGCUAAGGGAGGGGGUCUGGGGCAUCCCUGGAGCUCAGAAGCCAAGGCCCGUGCCUGCCCCAGGGCUGGUGCCAUACAUAGUUCCAGGUACUGGGGACGGAGGGUAGCCGAUGGGGCCCUGAGCAGGACGUGCCUCUUCUGGACUUGACCACAGAACCCAAGCAUGGUUCAAGCGAUUCUCCUGCUUCAGCCUCCUGAGUAGUUGGGAUUACAGAUGCCCGCCACCGCACCCAGUCACAGAUGGACUCUGAGAGAGAAAAUAGCACCCCUGUCCAAACAUCACAUGCCUGGCGGAGGAACGCAGCCUGGCCUGUGCAGCCGAAUGUUGGAGAGUGCACCUUCCUCUCUUAUUUUGUUUUAUUUCCAGGGAAAGGGAAAGGAAGACAUGCAGGUAAUUUAUCAACUAAAUUACAGGCUGACUGAUAAUAAAGCUCCCCGCCCCACAAAAAAAGGAAGUCUCAUUGAAGUCCUUGGGUCACUUUACCCCUGCCCUUGGGUUGAUGGACGAUCAGAUGUCUUCCUUCUCAUGCUGGCUGAGACAUCAAACACCAGAGUGGACUUACUUGGCUCCAGUGCUGGUGAUGGGCACUUCUGGGUGAAUGGAAUCUGGGGUGUACUAGCAAAUUUGCUGGUUCUUAGUGCAGGAUCAUUUGAAAAUUUAUUAUUCUGCCAAAUUGAUCAAAUCACUUUGA
rnacentral:lncRNA from 1 species